UAGCCCCUCUGAGUAAAGAAGAUGCUGUU
rnacentral:piRNA from 1 species